rnacentral:rRNA from 1 species
GUGCCAGCCGCCGCGGUAAAACGUAGGUUCCGAGCGUUAUCCGGAUUUACUGGGCGUAAAGCGCGUUCAGGCGGUUUGGCAAGUCGGGCAUGAAAUCCUUCGGCUCAACCGGGGGAGGUUGUCCGAUACUGCUGAACUGGAGGGCAGUAGAGGGUGGUGGAAUUCCGGGUGUAGUGGUGAAAUGCGUAGAGAUCCGGAGGAACACCAGUGGCGAAAGCGGCCACCUGGACUGCACCUGACGCUGAAACGCGAAAGCUAGGGGAGCGAACGGGAUUAGAUACCCGUGUAGUCC